rnacentral:rRNA from 1 species
CGUACCUUUUGUAUAAUGGGUCAGCGACUUAUAUUCUGUAGCAAGGUUAACCGUAUAGGGGAGCCGAAGGGAAACCGAGUCUUAACCGGGCGUUAAGUUGCAGGGUAUAGACCCGAAACCCGGUGAUCUAGCCAUGGGCAGGUUGAAGGUUGGGUAACACUAACUGGAGGACCGAACCGACUAAUGUUGAAAAAUUAGCGGAUGACCUGUGGCUGGGGGUGAAAGGCCAAUCAAACCGGGAGAUAGCUGGUUCUCCCCGAAAGCUAUUUAGGUAGCGCCUCGUGAAUUCAUCUCCGGGGGUAGAGCACUGUUUCGGCUAGGGGGCCAUCCCGGCUUACCAACCCGAUGCAAACUGCGAAUACCGGAGAAUGUUAUCACGGGAGACACACGGCGGGUGCUAACGUCCGUCGUGAAGAGGGAAACAACCCAGACCGCCAGCUAAGGUCCCAAAGUCAUGGUUAAGUGGGAAACGAUGUGGGAAGGCCCAGACAGCCAGGAUGUUGGCUUAGAAGCAGCCAUCAUUUAAAGAAAGCGUAAUAGCUCACUGGUCGAGUCGGCCUGCGCGGAAGAUGUAACGGGGCUAAACCAUGCACCGAAGCUGCGGCAGCGAACGUAUCA